CUCCCCUUCUCCUUUUCCUCCCUCCGUCCUCCCCUCCCUCCCUCCUCCCUUCCCAUCCUUCUUUUCUUCCUUAUUUUGAGAUGGAGGUCUUACUCUGACACCCCCUUCCCACACGGAUUUUGAAUCUGUGGACAUAAAUGUGAUCCUCCUGCCUCAGUUCCUCUGACCCUGGGAGUACAUGCAUGCACGCAGCACAGCCUUGGUCUCUCCUUUCCAAGAUGUCCCCUCUGCUCUUUGUCUCUGCCUAUUUUCCCUGCCAGUAGCAGCCACUGCCUCUAUUUGGCAUCCACUUUCUAUGAGGUCAUCUUCACACCACUGGCUAUUCCCUUCGGCAUGCAAGCUCGCCGGCAGUGACUCGAUGUUUACGACCGUACUGGCCUAUGAGGAUCAUGGUGUGGAAGAAUGAAGCCUUGCUGGCGCCAAGCUAAGUGUAGACAAGUUCUUGGGAGGGGGACAGGGAGAGGGAGCCAACAGUAGGAUGAUGGGGAUACCUGUGUUGGGGGAGAGACCUCUCUUCAGUCCUGGCAUGACAUCUAGUCCAGACAGGAAGAAAAUGACAUUCAUGUUCAGUCUAGCUCGUGCUAUUGCUCGGAGGAGGAAAUGGAGCCGUCUUGUUCACAAGCCAGGACAAACACAUUCCCUGUAGCCAGCGCAAAGUAUAAGUGCAGGCGCAGUGUCACCAGCCACCUUACGCGUCGGCUAGCACGCUUUCUCCACCACGAGGGACUGCAUUCUCAAAUGGCGACUGGAGAGAACUCUUCCUUUCUUCAAUGGCCUUUACCAGGUAUUUUGUUACAGCCACAAGAAACUGAAAUAAUGCAGAGGGGGUGGUUCUGAGGGUAAGAAUGAGCAGGCAGGCGGGUGAAUCAGUGAGAUGUUGCAACCAUCUCUAAGACCAGUGAGAUCACAUGUUUUGUCUGCACCGCAGCUCACGUGUGCACAAGCAUGAGACACAACUCAUAAUUUUGUCUAGAAUUAUAGUUUCUUCUCUGGCGGGGAGGGGUCUUCUGACUUGAUGAAGGGAGUGAUCUCUUGGAACCUCAUCAUUUCUAAUCCUAAUUCAGUCUGGUCAUUAAACAGCCUCUCUAGUUGACUAUUUAGCCAUCAAAUGUGUAGAUAGUAAUGACACUGUACCCCUCUUUGUGAGUUGGUAACUUCUGAGAUAUUUUCAGGGAUCAGUGUUUCUGGUGACAGUAGGACAUUCCAUGGUCCCUAAGCUCAUUUGGUUGCUAGAGAGAGUGGUGGCUACUUACUUUGUCAUCUGUGUACAUGUAUUAGUCUGGGUCACUGAGCCAUCUCUGAGUGGAUUGAUUCAUGGGUCUGACAAUACCACCCAAGAAUCAAAAGUGACAUCAGAAAAUAAUCUCUAAAUUGUGUUUUAUUUUAUCCCCUUGUUUGGGGGGAUAUGACCCCACAUGCCAGGGUAUAUGUGUGGAGGUCACAGGGCAACUUGUAGGAACUGGUUCUCUUUCCACCAUGAAGGUUCCAGGGAUGGAACUCAAGUCAUCAGGCUUGGGAGCAAGCACUUUGUCUUGUGAUCCAUCUCACUGGACAGAGAGCUGUCUUAAUAUUCCUGUCACUGAACCAGGUAGUGCGAACUGAGAGGGUUCUCCAUUGCCAGGAGGACUCUGCUUUCCCUUGGGGUACUUACAGGGAGAAGAGCCUGCCAACUUCAACACUCCUCAGCAUGUUUCACUCUAAAACCUAGUGAUGCAUCCCAAUAAAGUCUCCACCCAAUAUAUAGUCAUGCUGGCAUCACAGAAGCACAAGCUGGUACUGCCUGCUCAGCACGGUCCCAAUCCUUUUUCCAUUCUGAUGAGGUCUACUCUCCAUGCACUCCUAAAAGUCAAGGAGUAAGCAUCAGGACAUUGUUGGAUGCUUGUACAUAGUUGCUGAAUCAAAACUUCACACUUGUCUUUGAAGAACAGAGGGAAAAGUCUGUAAGUCUCACCUAUUACUAAAUUGUCCCUCAUCAACAGCAGGUGGGGAAGUGUGCUUUAAGGGGACCCUGCAGAUAAACACAUCAAGGUCCCUGUCAAGACAGGCGGCAUUUGAAUCUCUGGAACCCAAGCUAAUGCUGUCUCAGAGGACUUGGAGUUAGUGGGGCAUUUAUUGCACAGCCAAUGACUUGUAAACACACCUUGUCACUACAUGUGCUCAAGCAAUUACUGGACAAUUAUACCUGCAAAGUACCUGGUAAUUAAUAGAAGGAGUCUUGUGUGGGCUGCCAUUUGGGAAGCAGUGGCUAUUCUUUCACUUCACUGGAAUGAUUACGUCCUCUGGAGAAGACCUAAUGCCUUCAAGAAGCAGUAGGCAAGGGAUCCACUUACAAAGUAACUGAAUUACACAGAGGAGAUAGCUCUGACUUCAAGACAGAGCCAAGCAGUUCUUCCCAGGUAAGGAGAAAGGUAUGAUGAGCGAGAACCAUGCCCACAAAUGCCACAGUCCAGGUGUACAUAGGGAGCCGACACUUAGGAAGCAACCAUAGGGCUUUCCAACAAGCAAGCACCCAUGAGAAGAGAUCUGCCAGGCUCUAGGCCCUAUGUGCAUUGCUUUCUACAUAUGGACUUGUUUCAUUGUCAAGCUGUAAGAAAAACAUUAUUAACAUUAUUUUAAAUAUUUAUGUAUUAAUUUUGACUAUGGGUAUGCACACAUGUCUAUGUCUCUGUGUGUAUGCUCACGUGCGAAUGCACUGUUCCCCGAGGCCAGAAGAGGGUCUCCUGGAGUUGGGAGUUGCAGAUCACUUGAAGUGGAUGCUGGGGACCAAACUUGGCUGCUCAUGUGAGUAGCAGGCUGUCUUUCCUCCCUGCUACUUUCUCCUACUACUGAUUUAUACCCUGGGCUCCUGAUAUACAAUUCCAGGCGAGUGAAAUUUAUCCAUGCACAUAGACAUUGAAGUACAGUUUUACUUGUUUAUAAUCUACAGCCUUAGUCCAUGUAUGUAGCUAAAACAAAUGGUGAAAAAGGAGGUGGUUUUUAAAUCCUGAGAUCUGGAAGCCCAAGGUUCACGUGCUGGCUGAUAAAGGCGCCUGGGACGCACUCACUUCCUCAUAGAUAUAUGUCUGCUCACGUGGAGGGAGACAUAAGAGUCUCCUUUAUGAGAGCACCAGCCAAUUGUAGGAGGGUGCACGCUAUUGACUUUAAUCACUUCCCUAAGUGUCUUCACGGAAAACUUCCACCACCAUAGGAACCAGGGUUUUAGCAUGACUUUUUAGAAAACUGUGGGACAUCUGUACACUGUGAAGAUAUAUUGGUGGGAUUGGUGAAGUAAAAAGCUGAAUCAUCAAUAGCUAGACAGGAAGUAUAGACGGGACUUCUGGAGAGAGAGAGAACUCUGGGAAGAAGGAGGGCAGAGACUUUGAAAAAGCAAGAGGGACAGUAUGGAGAUGGGGUAAAGCCACAUGGCAGAACGUAGAUUAAUAUAAAUGGGUUAAUUUAAGUUAUAAGACCUAGUGGGACAAGCCUAAGCUAAGGCUGAGCUUUCAUAAUUAAUAGUAAGUCUCAGUGUCGUUAUUUGCGGACUGGUGGUCCAGAGAAAAAAGCUUAUGCAUGUGCCUUUAUUUAUACUUGUCCCUCAGCCGAAGGGAGGUGCUCUGGCUGACUGGACUGUGAGAUGUUGGUGAAUGAGUUAGCCAUCAUUCCAUUGAUGAUACACUUAUAAAAUAUCUCAUUCCCUCUCCUAGGACAGAAUGAGAAAGAAAAAAUAAAACAUGAGCUCAUAUCUGCUGUUACUGUCUCCCAGGGUGUGUCCCAGAUGGAAGAACUGGAGAAGCCCAUAGUGUUGGUGUCUUCAAGUGGGCAAGGGAGCCUGAAGAAGGCCAGCUCAUGUGGCUGAAGGUUGAGGAACUGGGGAGCUGUUUGACCACGUGGUUUUUGUGUUGGAAGCAGAAGCGUUAACACUGACUGACUGUCUACCUGGUCCCAGCCCCCACAGCCGCUGUUCUGUGAAUCACAUCCCGUUCUAAUUCAGCAGAGCACAAUCAGAGUUUAAAGGUGAGAACCACGGCUCUAGGGCAACUCUGGGGAAUGAAGACUGGAUUCCUGACUUCUUAGUAUAAUAAUCCAGAGUGGAGAGUAUCAAGAAGGCCAGGCAGAGACAAGAGCCAGCAGACCCAAGAGCUUCUCCACUCUGCCAGGCUUUCCUGUCCCAGAAAUACAGCAGAAGCAACAGGGGACAGAAAAGGAAGUGUUAUAGAGCUGGUGAAGAGACCCGUGGAAAAGGCAUGAAGGAGGUCCUGAGACAAAAAUUAGAGUGCAGAGGUCUGCUCAUAGCAGGAUUGCAAGAGCUGAGCCUGGUGGUGCAAGCCUAGCAUCUCAGGACACCGGGACUAAAAGGAGAGGCCUCAAACACAACAUCAGCCUCUGCACAGUGUGUUGCAGCCUGCCUGACCACACGGUGAGACAGUCUAAACACACAGGCAAAGAAAACAGAUAGCCUCGGUAACGGUGGCAGAGAUGUGGAUGGGGACAAGAGACAGGGAAGAGAGGACGCCCAUAAAGAUGGCUAUCCACCGCUACUGUGGGCAACUGGCGGGCAAUACUGCUGGAGGGUUCCACGAGAUGUGUUUCAGCGGGCACUGCCAGAGGGGAAGAGGAAAUGGGGUAUUGACACCAACUCUGUUACCAUGGGUUGGGUGUGCUCCUGAAAUGGACAUUAACUCUCUUGCAGCUGGCUCCCUUUAGAUAGGGAAACCUGCCUCUGGUGACAGGGGAAACACAGGCGCUGAUGGAUGAAAGGUGAUCUUUGUGCUCUGACAUGAAAAGGGCAAUGAUGAUCGCACAGAAACCCCGCAUUCCAGUCACAUCAUGAAAAGUUGGUUCUCCACCGAGGCUGUUUGUGCUGUUGACUGUCUUGCUCAGUGCAACAUUGCUGACUCCUGCUUUAGUGUCCCUCCUGUGUGGUGCUUACUCUCUGAUCCAGAAAAGAAAUAAGCAAAACAGCUCAAGAUUUCACUUAGAUGCCUAUAGCUCAGGUUCAUGUGUGAUGCUGUCUCCUGGAUCAUCUCCCAAAACAUCACCGGGUUUCCGAGGAGACAAGGCUGGACAGAGAUGUUAAGUGCUGAAGCCGUUGCCCAUAGGAUGGAAAGAACAGAUGUCAGUGAAGCAAUGACUACAAACAAGAGAGGAGGCAGGAAGGCUUCAGCGGCUUGAGGGAUGUCCCUUCGCUCUUGAACUUUGAGCAGACACUGAUGGACACUACCGACAUGGCAAGGCUGUGUUGCUAAGAGAGUGAAUGGUGGUGCCGGGCACUGAGUUUGGAAGGGUACUCGGAGUCACUGGGUACACCUUUUUCACUUUCAGAGAAUAUGGAGGUUCACAGAAGUACAGUGACAUGUUCACAGUUAUGUAAUGGUUGGUGGCCGGCCACAGAAAGGCGAUCACUCAGGAAGACACUGCAGUGUUACCAAGCAUCCUUUUCUAAGGUUCACAACGAGUUUCCGUCUCUUAAAUAUGAAUACAACAUGCCACAUAAUCAUUGUAGAAGUCAUUGUUCUGUGAACGCAUGUUUCACAGAAGCAUCCCUAGACCACAUACUCAGAGUGCCUCCUCAAGUUUGAGUGUAUCAUGAAUACUGCCAAAGAUUGUAGACUGGGCAGUGGGGGGGGGAGGGGCUAAUAAAGGUUUGUUCUAUAUCCA